AGGAGGGCACGGGUCAGUGGCCAGCUCCACCCAGUCCACUGGAGAUUUUCCCCGCACGAAAGUCUUGUGUCCCCUAAAACAAGGGAGCCCAUGAAGUCGAGGGGGAGCACAGGCAGGUCCCCAGCACAGCUCGCGGGCACGGACGGGCACUGACGGGCAUGCCAGACGCCUCUGCAGAUCCCAGUGUCACUCCUGGUGAUGACGUUUUUAUAAUUGUAGAAAUCUGUCCAUCAGGAAAACUGACUUUUUGGGUGAUCAUUUUGGUGACUUCUACACAGAGACUUGUGUGACCACCACCAAGGACAGAAUCCAGAUCAGCUCUGCCACCCCCCGAAAGCCCCCUGGUGCCAUACCAAGCCGCCCGCGUACUGCAGCUCGCCCAGUUCUUCUGCACACUCAGGAGAAGCCAACCCCAUACGACUUCUUGUUUCUCUCUUAGGAAUUCCCUCGUAGUGGACUAAUUUCUUACUCUUUCCAUUCUCCCCCUUUCAUGACAGGUAAGCGCAGCAUCCUGAUUGCCUUUGUGCGUAGAGAUCAAUUAUAGCAUUUAUGACCUUCUCUGUAGGAGAACAACGAAGCUCUUCACAGGGGGCGGAGGGUUGCGGGGUUGAGAACCCUGGUCCCCAGGAAAUUCCACCAGGUCGUCGGCAACUGCACAAGGUGGGCUUUUUCUCCUUUGAGUGGCCGCCAGCAGCCGGUGUGGCAGGACUCGUAGGAGGAAGACCCAGGUACAGGGCAAAGGGGGCCUGAGGACCCCACGGCUGAUUCACUGUGCAUCUGCGGAUCUUUCAAACCAGGCCUGGCGCUGUGUCACCUCUGGGUCCCUAGCAUGUCUGCUGUCUGAAUGGGUCGCCGUCUUCAGGUCCUCCCCCUUGGACGGCAGUAGGAAGGAUUCGACAGAUGGAAACAGGAACUCCCCUCCCACUCGGCCUGGCUAGCUGGGACAAUAACGAGGAUGGGGACGAUGGGAAGGGCUUGGCAUCCACAGCGCCCUGCGUAGGGACAGGGACGUUUCUAUAGUUUCCACCUUUAUGAAUCAGCGCGCCUGACCCAAGUCAGUGACGGACCCUGAGGAGACCCCCACCCAGGAACCGGGAUGUGAUGGAGACCCAGAGGACGUCAUCAACGGCGUCAAUCCUAGAGCCAGGCCCACGGAGAACCUCGGGAAGGGUUCCUUUGCUCCACACUUCACCUGUAUUUCUGUGUCCCAUGGAGUUCCCAGUGCAACCCACAUGGAUUUGUUUUCUUUGUUUGUUUGUUUGUUUUUUUUUUGGUGCUGGGGAUUAAACUCAGGGACUCGACCACUGAGCCACAUCCCCAGCCCUAAUUUGUAUUUUAAAGAGAGAAUGUGCCUUGGUGCCAAGGCUUGUCUGCUGGAUGCCCCCCCCCACACACACACACACACCUGCACCCCUCCCUGCAGGGAGCUCUAGACCAGGAAGAGACCAUCUUCCACAAAAACGCAGAGCGCUCCACAGCCUCAUGGUCACGGAUGCCGAGCAUAAGUAGUGACAGCAGCUUGCCAGUGGGCAGGACUUGGCAGAGAGUCCCCAUGCAAAUCCGCCGCCACACCAGCACGCUCCGCACAGGGCUGUGAAAUCCGCCUUCACUCGCUCAAUUCACACCCUGGCAGAGCUGCCAACAGCUCUGUGCAUCUACGCAAUAACCCUCAUUCUGUCACCGUUUCCAUGACCUUCACACACCCUCUGACAGCAUUUUUUUUUGUUUUGGGGAAGUGGGGGCUACCUUGAAGAAAUUAAAAUGUCCAAUUCUGUUGGGGGA